ensembl:lncRNA
UUGCUGCAACGUCAGGGGCACGCCCCGCUUCCCGUUUGCCUCACUUCCUGUUUGCCUCACUUCCUGUUUACCAUUGCUGACAGGGUCACUGUUGGGUGUCCAUAGCCAGAGAGCUGAGCCGCUCGCUGGCUGCUGUAUGUCCAGUUCGAGCCGUGAGCCGCUCGUGAGCCGUUACUGAAGCUGUGGGCCUCCGGUGGCGGGGACUGGUGUCUUCGGGUGGUGGGAACCCCUUCCUGUGUGGUGUGCUGCUCAUCCCCUGGUUGUUUUAUUUAUUUCUUCACUCAGGUGUGUGUGUGUGUGUGUGUGUGUGUGUGUGUGUGUGUGUGUGUGUGUGUGUGUGUGUGUGUGUGUGUGUGUGUGUGUGUGUGUGUGUGUGUGUGUGUGUGUGCGCGUGCGCAUGUUCACGUUCACGUGUGAGUGGGGUGAUUUCUCCUGGGCUCCCUUGUGAUGCCCGUUGGCCCAAACCUCCACCAGAGAGCCCCCAGCUCUGAUUAGUCCCCAAACCCGUCAUUUAACAAUCUCGUGUGAAUGGUUGUUUUUUUUUUUUUUUUUUUUUUUUUUGGUUUUAAACUGAGUAUUUUUAGUAUUAAAUAAAAUUUGUAUUUUUUGUCUGCACUGGAAUCAUAUCUCUUGCCUCAUCAGUGGAACGAACCUGAGUUGCCUUCUCGUUAGUGGUGGUUAUAAUUCCCUGGGUGAAAGUCCCAGGGUGGCGUUGUCUGGCCAGUGUCUACAUUCAGUAAUUGUAGCACGUUAGUUUAUCCCCGACCCCUGCGCUCGCCACACUUGUUUUAUGCUUACCGCGUCCGCGAGGUCCGUGCGGCUCCGUGCGGAAAAAUUACGUCAUUUUCGCACCCCGCCCCCUCCGGCGGCCUUUCCGUGCGGAAAAUUUUCGCUCCACACACCUCAACAUUUUUCUAACCAACGCGGACGGAGCCGCACGGAAAAACAUGGCGGAGGGCCAGGACCUACUCGUAGCUGAAGUCUAGAAAUACGUGCACCUAUAUGAUUCAUCUCACAGAGAUCACCGUGGUAACCGGGUUAUGAACUAUUCAUGGUGUGAAAUAAAACUAACUGCUGAAAUGCUUUUAUUUGGUAAAAUGCCGUGUUGUAAGUGGUGUAAACCAUGGCAAACUUCUUCUUCUCUAGUUUAGUACCAGAGUAGACCAGGUGUCGCUGUGUCGAUGUCCACAGCUUGUUAGUGCUUCUUCCAGUGCUGCUCCUCCCUCGCUGUUCUCUCUACUGUAUGCCAUGGUACACAAUGUUUUUUUCCUGGGGAGGGACGAGGACUUAGUGCUAGACUUUAAUCCCCUUUCAUGACCAUGAUGAGUAGUUACCAUUAUUAUUGUUCUGAUUAUGAUGAUUUAUCGUUGUUCUUCUAUAUUACUGAAUGUUUUCCUUUCUUCUGUGUGUUUGAGCUACACUGCCCCCGGCAGUUUGGAAGCAGACUUCUUCUUCCCUAGUUUAUUACUAGAGUAGACCAGGUAGACGUGUGUUAGGGAUACACUGCCCCCUGCAGUUUGGGAGCAGACGCGCACGGCCCGCAAUAGCAUAGCUGCAAGUGUAGCUUCUGAUAGCCGUGCCUUAGCAGCUCCCGAGCAGCCGGGAAGUCAAGGUAGCUGGAUGACAGUUCGUAGGAAACGUAGUCCUAAACUCAACCCGCUGUCCCGGCACACCACAAACCCCUUCACGUUUCUAAUCGUUUUUCCCCACUCAACGACACACCCGCUGAGAAACAAACUCUGAUCAUUGGCAGCUCCAGGGUUGCCACCUUUCAGAAAUUAAAAUAAAGGACGGCCACCACGGCUUCUUGGGGCCACAGUUCAGUAAAGUUGGAAAAAUAUUCACAGAUUCAGACUUCCAGCAUUCCAGCAUUAGAUAUACUUUGUCAAAAGAUAAACAAUGCCUCUUUCCCGUCGUUGUAAGGCAGACAAUGUGCUACAUUGUCUUACUUAUCAAAAGUAGCUGUCUUUCAAGCUGCAGUUUACUGAACUACCACCCAAGGAGUGGUAAUAUUUAAUUUUGAAAAAAGCACUUAGCCUUACUUAAAGCUUUAAGUAUGGAGUCACAGGAGUGUCACAAUAAAAUAUAAAUAAAUAAGGAAAUAAAUGUGGAAAUAUAAAGAGAAAUAAAUAAAUAAAUGUGGAAAUAUAAAGAGAAAUAAAUAAAUAAAUGUGGAAAUAUAAAGAGAAAUAAAUAAUUGUGGAAAUAAAUGUGGAAAUAUAAAGAGAAAUAAAUGAAUAAAUAAAUAAACAUAAAGAGAAAUAAAUAAAUAAAUAUAAAGAGAAAUAAAUAAAUAAAAAGGGAAAUUUUCUCUUUGGUUUUCCCUUUUCUCUUUUUUUCCUUUUAUUUUUCCAGUUUGUCAUUGUCUUUUCCGUUUUGCAUUUGCCUUUUCCUUUUGGCACUCAGUCCAUCAAGUAAAAGCAAAGUCAAAAGCCUUGGCUUGACUUGGUGGACUGAGCUGUCAAUCAAAUGGCUCUGGGCGGGGCUUUCUGUCCAGGGUGAGUAAUCGUACCUGAUCACAGGAUUCCUGCUUGGCGAUAGCUCCUAGCCCGGCUAAACGGAAGUGAUGUUACCUUGGCGCUGAGAGGAAGUGCAGACAACGCAGUUUGCAAAUACACGAACGUGACACUUUCAGCGGAUCAGAGUAGCUGGAUUUCUCAAUGUUUGGACUCUGUAGCGGGAUAUGAAGAAGUCAGUAUCUCAGUUGGUCAGAGAAGAAGCUGACAGGCUGGAUGAGCAAGCACAUCCAAACACCCCGUCGCCGAGACAGUCGGAUUCAACGCUGUUAACAAGAGACCCCAUUGAUGGUAAGUAGUUAUUACUUCUUUUGUUGAGUUAUAGUAAAACUAGCCAGAAAGUGCAUUGUGCGACGCUGAAGUCAGCUUUUCAGCUUCCGAUUCGGCAGUUCAAUGAAUAGUCAAGGGGAACUUGAACACGGUUUUGUGAAAAGUAAAGAGUAUAUGCAACUGGAAGCUUCUGGUAACACUUCCUUCAUUGCUUUUCUCUAAAAGCUGAGGUGUCAAGACUUUUCUUGUCAUACCAGACCUCUUCACGGUCUCUGACCCCACGUCACAGGCCAAUGCUAUUUCCAAGAAGCUGUGCUGUUUCGUACUCACCACAGCAACUUCUGGACUGCAUCAUUUGGCCAGUGGAAUCCGAUAGUGAUGAGGACACAAGUCUGGAGGAAAAGUGCCAUAUCUCUGGAUUUCUGAGAGAAUACAUUGAAAAUGGAACUUCUGAAGUUCUGGCAGGGGUGGAAGGUUCUUCCAAAAGAGCUGCAUGUGGAAAUUGUGCAUGGACAAAUGCCUCAGUCAAGCACAUGCAUGGAGACUCUUCGGCUGCCUUCACGCUAUAAGUCUUAUGAUGUUUUCUGUGAGGCUCUGAACGCAGCAGUCAGUUCUGUUCAAACAGGGUUUGGACUUGUUUAAAGUCACAACUUCAAGUGUUAUGCAGCCAAUUAAUGUUACCAAAAUGCAUAAAAUGUUAAAGCAGAUAUGUUUAGUUGUUUUGACAAUUGUUCUGAUGUGAUGUAAGCUUGUGAGGCAAAUGCAUGCUUCAGGAGAAGGUUCACAACAGUUCUUGUUUUUUCUGCUGCCAGGCUCAAAUUGUUGUGUGUGACAUUUAACAUGUAACAGAAAUGUGGCGGCCAGUGAGUUGUUGCAGGAAGACAGUUUAAAGGUGAGAGUUGAGAGAGUGAAUUAAUGGAGUAGCUUAUUUUUAUGUAAAAGAUUACAAACCUGAACUAUGGUUCAGGUUUGUGCAUUUCUGAACUGUGACAACAAAAUGUUUCCACACUUGGAGAAGACUGUGUUUGGGGAACAGUUGUAAUAUAAAUGUGUGGAAGUUAAAGAAAAGAAUUAUCAGUUCUGUUAAAAAAUGUUUUUUUUAUUGGCACAUUGUUUUAAUGCUUUCAAAUUAUUCAGCAUGCAAUAAAAGCAGUUUUGUAUCCCUUUGUUAUGUCUUGCUUUUUUACAUUUUUGUUUUCACAGGCAUUUAUUUGAAAUUCACAACUUGUCAUAAAAUUAUGCACCAAAAAUUUGCAGCAUUCUUUCAAGUCUUGUUCGACCAUUUCAAACGGUUUCAUUCUGAUCAUGUUAAGGUGAGUUGUGAUAGGCCUAGGUUUGUUGAAAAAUGUUCUUAAGAAUAUUGCUCUCAGCUCUCGUAGGAGGCGGUCGCACUUUUCCUUGCUCCGCUAUCUCUGUUCCUCCCUACCCUCAUGUCUCCCUGCUUGCUGCAUUUCUUCGUCUUCGUCUCGUUUGUCUGACUUGGAGCGAUUGCUUGGCACUGGACCUUUGAAACACCGAUCAUGGAAUUGAUUAACUGGUCUCUCAACGCAAUUGACAAGAUUGUCGCCACAAAGAGCACAGGCCUAGGGGAGCCUACCUGCCCGGAUGGGAGUUUCGCCUCUGGUUACGUGAUCGACGCCUGGGGGAAGUGGAAGGGGAUCAUGUGCCUGGCACCCCUAUCCGUGGAGGACGUGGAAGAUGUUUAUAUAUUUGGAUUUAUGAUGACAGGCCUGCUGAUAAUCGGCUUGUUCACUGGCCUGAGCUUCUGGAAAAUCAGGAAGACCGCAGACAGAAAUGACGUCCAAACUCUGCUGGUCUAUGCAAACGAACGGAUCAUGGCUGCCGAUUCUCGGUAUGACGAACUCAAUCGUAAGAUGAACAAUUUGCUUGGUGUGACUGUUGAUUUGAGUCGCAGAUUGGAAGCCAUUAGGGUGAGAAUCGCUACAGCUGAGGUCUAAAAUUGUUGAUGUAUGCCCGGAAGGUGAAAUUGUUCCUCUCUCCUGACCAAACAAGAAGGAAACUGAUUACAUUCUGGCGCCCCUGGAACAAUAACAAACUCCUCUGGAAGUUUCAUGGCCAAGAGAUAGCUCUCCUAAACCCCCCCCACUUUCCCAAGGACACCUGUUGACUUUUGGACCGGGCCAACCGAGGACGUCUCCAUAGCAACCUUGCUGUGUUAUCGCGCUCCCACCCUCGCGAAUCUGAGACACCGGAGGUCUGAGACGGAAGAAGAUGGGCUACACACAUACACAAACAUUCGGACUCAUGAACUGAGGACUGAGCUAAACAUUCGCACAGACAUUCCCAUAUCCCCCUCCCCCCCGCUUCCACAAGCUUCCCUCGCUAUGCACAGGAGCCAGGAAUCCGUGCACUUGCACAGGAACCGGCUAACUGUGCGGUGCUCCCCCCUCCACCACCCCACAUCCUUAUCCCAACUAUCCUUUUCUAACGUCAUGCUUUGCCUGUUUGUGGGUUUGUUUUUUUAGGUUCCUUCUCAAAUUGAAUUUCCCAACAUUGGAGGUUUCAUUUGGUACAACGAGCCUUUUUUUUCCUUUACCCUUUGCAAUCCCUACCCAGAUCCCAACAUGUCCUUUUUCUUUUUUUCUUCAAGAAAGGUGCGCGCAGCACUGCGCAGCAGCCGGAGCUGUCAUUGGCAGGGCAGCUCAAAUGAAAUUUCGUUGUAUAUGAAAAUGUGCAAUGACCAAUAAAGAUUGAUUGAUUGAUUGAUACACUGUAUCCAUGUAUGCCCGUAGUGCAGCAGAAAAAGGGACUGCCGGAUCAGACAAUGAUGUAACUUCAGCCUGGGUAAGCUGCUGGGGUAGUUGUGCAUCAGGUACAGUGACACCCUCUGGGUAUGGGGUGUGAGGUCCUGUCCAGUCUAUUCCAUAAUCAGCAGCAACCUGAAAGGAAAGCAUAAUUUGAAAGCAAGCCCUUUUAUUAAGAAAUGCACAUUCCUCAAGGAAAAAAAAAUUAAGAAGUAAAUGAGAUUAGGAACUACAUGGUAUGGCAAAACGGCAAGUGAACCGUCUAGUACCACAGCAGAAAUAAUAAAGUUAACAUAAAUAAAUAUAAAGGAAGACAGGAAGGUAGAGGUACAAGAGGGAAUUUGUACCUCAACUGGAUCAGC